rnacentral:lncRNA from 1 species
AUUCCCCCGAGUCGGCCCGCGGGCUACGGCCGCCUGCGGAGCGCAGGAACCUUCACCUCCCGAGGACAGGCGCCUUCCCCUCGGGACCCGGCUCCCCUGCUGCCUGCGCCGCUCUGUCCCCCUGCCGCUGCCCAAGCCUCCAGCAGGGGCCACCGAGGGCUCCAGGAGCACCCCAGGCCCGUUCUUCUGGCCCACAGCGCCCCUCCUGUGACCCUCAGCGACCCUCCUGUCCUGCCCUCCGGCGGCGCGGCUGUCUGGAGACUCUGCACCGUCGCGGCCUCGCAGCCUCGCAGCCCCGCGCCGGGUGGGGAGGGGAGGGUGGCGUUCCUGAGUCCGCGGAGGAAAGGGUCGCAGCUGCAGUCGCGCCAGCCCUCGGGCCUACAUCCGCUCCGCCGCGACGCGGCUCACAAACUAGGGAGGGGAGAAGGGAAGAAAGACCCGAUUCGGGAACACGGCUUUGUCCCUGGAACUGUACCUCAUGUCCCCUCACUUAAUCCUCCCAAGACCUGUGGGGCGUGUCGUCAUUUUAGGGCUGGAGAUGAGGAAACCGAGGCUCGGAGAGAUGAAGCGUUGUACGGCCACCGAGCGGCUGCUUUGCAACGAAGCCAAAGCCAACGUUUUGUUCUUAGCGGCGGUCGUUUGAGCCACGCCUCACCGCAACGAGUCUGCCAUCAGCCAAGAGAUGGAGUGAAGGUACCUGAGCGCAGGAACCAUGGUCUUCAUUGCUGCCUCAGCAUUAGCGGAAGUGCCACGGGCCGGCUCCCAGGGGGCCAGAGUUUCCCAGGAACACCAUUGAGUACCACUGAACUAGAGUCUGCAAGUUAAAGUAAGGCAAGAAGGAAAACCGGAAACAACUGUAAAAACCUGACCUUUCGUCACCUUAAUACUGGCCAUCAUUUAUCGAGUGCUUAUUAUGUAACAGACAUUGUUCUCAGUGUGUGAGUGCAGUGUUCCUCAAACCUAAAUGUGGGCCUGAAUCGCAGCGGAUCUUGGUAAAAUGCAGUUUCUCAUUCAGUACCUCUGGGGUGCGGCCUGAGAUUCUGCAUUUCCAACAAGCUCCCAGGAUACUUUGUAUAGAAAGGCUUUGGUGUAUUAACUAACUCGAUCUUCUUAAUAAUCCUAUGAAAUACUACUGCUAUUCCCAUUUUACAGAUGAGGAAACAGAGGUUAAGCAUAUAUGAACUUACAUCAAAAUAAAUAGACUGCAGGGCAAGGAGGGAGGGGAGAAUAGUGUGGGCAGUGUACAGUGCAGAAACAAAGUUCUAGGCAGAGGAAAAAGGAUUUACAGAAAGCCUGGCAUACAGGGCAGGGGGACGGGGCCUGCACACGGGGCUGUUUCACCGUUAGACGUUAUAAGCACAGUACUUGGGGCUAUGGGCUUCCUGAAGGUCCCAAGUAUUUGAGACCUGAAAAAAAUUUAUUGACACCUACAUAGGAAAAGUGAACUUUUAAAUUAAUAAUUCCAAAAUUCAAAUCACGAAUUGUUUCAAAAAUUUUACAUGAUAGAAUUCAUAUUUAGUAAGCGAUACGGGUAUAUUUUAAUGCAUUUGAUUUUAAAAACGGGGUAGGGCCUACUAAGAACAGGCCAAGCCCUGGCCCCAGUGGGUUUGGAUAUAAUCCUGAGGGCAGCUGGGAACCACUGAGAGAAGCAGGAGAAUGUUCUCUGUGGCUACAGUGAGGAGAAUGGAUUGGAGGGAGGCCAGACUGGAGGCCCAGUGGCUAGAGACCAGAUAGGCAGUUACAGUCUUCCAGACUGCGAGACAAUCUCUCUUUAGUGCCAAGAUUAGCAUAAAAUCAUAGCAUUAUAUAACCCAAUUAUUCUUUGAUUCCUGCAUCCCCAAUCUGACUCAGCAUUCUAAAUUUACUUAAGAUCUGGGGACAAGGGUUUUUGGCAAAUCCUUGAAGGCAAAUGAUGUUACAGUCAAUCAGUAUAUGCCUUGAGCCAGACAGACAUGGGUACGGGCCUCAGUUCUGCUGCUUGCUAGCUAUGUGACUUUGCACAAGUGAUUUAACUUCUCUGGGCCUUGGAUUCCUUACUGGUAACACGAGCAUAAUCGAUUCCUCACAGAAUUAAGUGAGAAAACUAUGUAUGUAGGACUUCUUAUGGAGUGGGUACUUAGAAAUAAAUGGUAGCCGUUA